rfam:Ailuropoda melanoleuca scaffold742_52, whole genome shotgun sequence.
CUGUUCCUUUUUCCUAUGCAUAUACUUCUUUGAGGGUCUGGUCUGAAGAGGUGUAAGGCAUGGGAAAAUGGGGCAG